GCCGCAGUAGCUCAGUUGGUAGAGCACGUCAUUCGUAAUGAUGGGGUCGGGGGUUCGAGUCCCUCCUGCGGCACCA
rnacentral:tRNA from 1 species